rnacentral:tRNA from 1 species
GCGGAAGUGGUGGAACUGGUAGACACACUAUCUUGAGGGGGUAGCGCUUAACCGGCGUGCGGGUUCGAGUCCCGCCUUCCGCA